AUACUUAAUCCAGUUGGAGGGGUACUAUGAACAAGAAAGUGGUUUUCCUUGGGAGAUACUAAGUCGUUGCAAUCUGCCUGUUCUGACCCCUUCAGUUUUCCCACAUUUGGGAAACUCGACUACAGAAUUUGUGGUAGUGGGGAUUGCACUGACGCUUCUCUCUG